GACGAACGCUGGCGGCGUGCCUAAUACAUGCAAGUUGAGCGCUGAAGGUUGGUACUUGUACCAACUGGAUGAGCAGCGCACGGGUGAGUAACGCGUGGGGAAUCUGCCUUUGAGCGGGGGACAACAUUUGGAAACGAAUGCUAAUACCGCAUAAAAACUUUAAACACAAGUUUUAAGUUUGAAAGAUGCAAUUGCAUCACUCAAAGAUGAUCCCGCGUUGUAUUAGCUAGUUGGUGAGGUAAAGGCUCACCAAGGCGAUGAUACAUAGCCGACCUGAGAGGGUGGGCGGCCACAUUGGGACUGAGACACGGCCCAAACUCCUACGGGAGGCAGCAGUAGGGAAUCGUCGGCAAUGGACGGAAGUCUGACCGAGCAACGCCGCGUGAGUGAAGAAGGUUGUCGGAUCGGAAAACUCUGUUGGUAGAGAAGAACGUUGGUGAGAGUGGAAAGCUCAUCAAGUGACGGUAACUACCCAGAAAGGGACGGCUAACUACGUG
rnacentral:rRNA from 1 species